CGUAACAAGGUCUCCGUUGGUGAACCAGCGGAGGGAUCAUUACCGAGUUUACAACUCCCAAACCCCUGUGAACAUACCUUAUGUUGCCUCGGCGGAUCAGCCCGCGCCCCGUAAAAAGGGACGGCCCGCCGCAGGAACCCUAAACUCUGUUUUUAGUGGAACUUCUGAGUAUAAAAAACAAAUAAAUCAAAACUUUCAACAACGGAUCUCUUGGUUCUGGCAUCGAUGAAGAACGCAGCAAAAUGCGAUAAGUAAUGUGAAUUGCAGAAUUCAGUGAAUCAUCGAAUCUUUGAACGCACAUUGCGCCCGCCAGUAUUCUGGCGGGCAUGCCUGUUCGAGCGUCAUUUCAACCCUCAAGCCCAGCUUGGUGUUGGGAGCUGCAGUCCUGCUGCACUCCCCAAAUACAUUGGCGGUCACGUCGAGCUUCCAUAGCGUAGUAAUUUACAUAUCGUUACUGGUAAUCGUCGCGGCCACGCCGUUAAACCCCAACUUCUGAAUGUUGACCUCGGAUCAGGUAGGAAUACCCGCUGAACUUAAGCAUAU
rnacentral:rRNA from 1 species